UGGGGAAUAUUGGACAAUGGGCGCAAGCCUGAUCCAGCAAUGCCGCGUGAGUGAGGAAGGCCUUAGGGUUGUAAAGCUCUUUCACCCGCGACGAUGAUGACGGUAGCGGGAGAAGAAGCCCCGGCUAACUUCGUGCCAGCAGCCGCGGUAAUACGAAGGGGGCGAGCGUUGUUCGGAUUUACUGGGCGUAAAGGGCGCGCAGGCGACCACAUUUGUCAGGCGUGAAAGCCCCGGGCUUAACCUGGGAGGUGCGUUUGAGACGGUGUGGCUAGAGUUCGGGAGAGGAGCGUGGAAUUCCCAGUGUAGAGGUGAAAUUCGUAGAUAUUGGGAAGAACACCGGUGGCGAAGGCGGCGCUCUGGACCGAGACUGACGCUGAGGCGCGAAAGCGUGGGGAGCAAACAGG
rnacentral:rRNA from 1 species